AACGAACGCUGGCGGCGCGCCUAACACAUGCAAGUCGAACGAGAAGGCGUAGCAAUACGCUUGUAGAGUGGCGAACGGGUGAGUAAUACGUGGGUGACCUACCCUCGAGGUGGGGAAACUAACCCGCCGAAAGGCGGGCUAAUGCCGCGUACGCUUCCGUCCUCGACGGGGACGGAAGGAAAGCUGUACCGUGGGUACGGCGCUCAAGGAUGGGCUCACGUCCUAUCAGCUUGUUGGUAGGGUAACGGCCACCAAGGCUACGACGGUAGCUGGUCUGAGAGGACGAUCAGCCACACUGGCACUGCGACGACGGGCCAGACUCCGUACGGGAGGCAGCAGUGAGGAAUAUUGCGCAAGUGGGCGAAAGCCUGACGCAGCGACGCCGCGGUGGGGAU
rnacentral:rRNA from 1 species